rnacentral:rRNA from 1 species
AAACUGCAAGUCGAGCGGACAGAAGGGAGCUUGCUCCCGGAUGUUAGCGGCGGACGGGUGAGUAACACGUGGGUAACCUGCCUGUAAGACUGGGAUAACUCCGGGAAACCGGAGCUAAUACCGGAUAGUUCCUUGAACCGCAUGGUUCAAGGAUGAAAGACGGUUUCGGCUGUCACUUACAGAUGGACCCGCGGCGCAUUAGCUAGUUGGUGGGGUAAUGGCUCACCAAGGCGACGAUGCGUAGCCGACCUGAGAGGGUGAUCGGCCACACUGGGACUGAGACACGGCCCAGACUCCUACGGGAGGCAGCAGUAGGGAAUCUUCCGCAAUGGACGAAAGUCUGACGGAGCAACGCCGCGUGAGUGAUGAAGGUUUUCGGAUCGUAAAGCUCUGUUGUUAGGGAAGAACAAGUGCGAGAGUAACUGCUCGCACCUUGACGGUACCUAACCAGAAAGCCACGGCUAACUACGUGCCAGCAGCCGCGGUAAUACGUAGGUGGCAAGCGUUGUCCGGAAUUAUUGGGCGUAAAGGGCUCGCAGGCGGUUUCUUAAGUCUGAUGUGAAAGCCCCCGGCUCAACCGGGGAGGGUCAUUGGAAACUGGGAAACUUGAGUGCAGAAGAGGAGAGUGGAAUUCCACGUGUAGCGGUGAAAUGCGUAGAGAUGUGGAGGAACACCAGUGGCGAAGGCGACUCUCUGGUCUGUAACUGACGCUGAGGAGCGAAAGCGUGGGGAGCGAACAGGAUUAGAUACCCUGGUAGUCCACGCCGUAAACGAUGAGUGCUAAGUGUUAGGGGGUUUCCGCCCCUUAGUGCUGCAGCUAACGCAUUAAGCACUCCGCCUGGGGAGUACGGUCGCAAGACUGAAACUCAUAGGAAUUGACGGGGGCCCGCACAAGCGGUGGAGCAUGUGGUUUAAUUCGAAGCAACGCGAAGAACCUUACCAGGUCUUGACGUCCUCUGACAACCCUAGAGAAGGGCUUUCCCUUCGCGUACAGAAUGACAGGUGGUGCAUGAUUGCGGU